ensembl:lncRNA
UCAGGCUAGGGAGGAGGACUGGUGGUCAGGGAGGAGGACUGGUGGUCAGGCUAGGGAGGAGGACUAGUGGUCAGGGAGGAGGACUGGUGGUCAGGGAGGAGGACUGGUGGUCAGGGAGGAGGACUGGUGGUCAGGGAGGAGGACUAGUGGCUAGGGAGGAGGACUAGUGGUCAGGGAGGAGGACUGGUGGUCAGGGAGGAGGACUGGUGGUCAGGGAGGAGGACUAGUGUUCAGGCUAGGGAGGAGGACUAGUGUUCAGGCUAGGGAGGAGGACUAGUGGCUAGGGAGGAGGACUAGUGGUCAGGCUAGGGAGGAGGACUAGUGGUCAGGCUAGGGAGAGGGACUAGUGGUCAGGCUAGGGAGGAGGACUAGUGGUCAGGCUAGGCAGUGGGACUACUUUUGACUAGAGCCCGUAGAGCUUUUUGGCCCAAGUCCAAGGCAGUCCACUAGGUAAUACAGUAUCAUUCCCUCACGUUAAUACUCUGUUGCUGCUUGGCACUGGGUCCUCUCCUCUAUUAGAUUUGAUCAGCUCCUGUGCCCUCUGUCCUCUUCCAUGCGUUUACAGGGUUGGAUACCAAAAUAAAUGUUUAAAGUUAUAAAUACUAAUUCAGUUAGUUGUGCAAUACAUUUUCUAGAUGAAGGAUAAGUAGCAUGAUGUUUUUCAAUGUGUGCAUGUUUUUGUCCUCUGACAAUGAUUCAGAUGUCAAAACUCUUCGUCAGUAGUGAACACUUGUGCUUUGUCGCCAAAAAGGAGGCUAUUGAGGAGGAGAGGACUGUCUUCUGUUCGCCUUCUAACGAAUUGACACCGGAAUGCUUGUUUAAAUACUUUUUCCCCUGUUUUUUCAUGACCAGCUCUGAAACCAGAUUGCAUAGC